rnacentral:rRNA from 1 species
CGGGGCUUAAGGUCUUGUAAUUGGAAUGAUGGGAAUUUAAACCUCUUCCAGAGUAUCAAUUGGAGGGCAAGUCUGGUGCCAGCAGCCGCGGUAAUUCCAGCUCCAAUAGCGUAUAUUAAAAUUGUUGCAGUUAAAAAGCUCGUAGUUGAAUUUCUGCUGCAUUGCUUGUGUCCCUCUGGGGUCUGUGCAUGUGGCUUUUUUCGGACGGAGUUUCUUUGUCUGAAUGUUUACUUUGAGAAAAUUAGAGUGCUCAAAGCAGGCUUUCGCCUUGAAUAGUUUAGCAUGGAAUAAUAAAGUAGGACUUUGGUUCUAUUUUGUUGGUUUUAGGUACCAAAGUAAUGGUUAAUAGGAACAGUUGGGGGCAUUCGUAUUUAACUGUCAGAGGUGAAAUUCUUAGAUUUGUUAAAGACGAACUACUGCGAAAGCAUUUGCCAAGGAUGUUUUCAUUAAUCAAGAAC